GCAGUAGUUGUUCAGUGGUAGAAUUCUGGCCUUCCAUGUAGGAGACCUGGGUUUAAUUCCCAGCCAAUGCA
rnacentral:tRNA from 1 species